GGCUUGUGGGUCGAUGAAGAACGGAGCAAACUCCGUGUUGUCGUGUGAACUGCAGGACACAUGAACAUCGACACUUUGAACGCAAAUGGCGGCCCUCG
rnacentral:rRNA from 1 species